rnacentral:rRNA from 1 species
CCUACGUGAGGCAGCAGUAGGGAAUCUUCCACAAUGGGCGAAAGCCUGAUGGAGCAACGCCGCGUGGGUGAAGAAGGUCUUCGGAUCGUAAAACCCUGUUGUUAGAGAAGAAAGUGCGUGAGAGUAACUGUUCACGUUUCGACGGUAUCUAACCAGAAAGCCACGGCUAACUACGUGCCAGCAGCCGCGGUAAUACGUAGGUGGCAAGCGUUAUCCGGAUUUAUUGGGCGUAAAGGGAACGCAGGCGGUCUUUUAAGUCUGAUGUGAAAGCCUUCGGCUUAACCGGAGUAGGGCAUUGGAAACUGGGAGACUUGAGUGCAGAAGAGGAGAGUGGAACUCCAUGUGUAGCGGUGAAAUGCGUAGAUAUAUGGAAGAACACCAGUGGCGAAAGCGGCUCUCUGGUCUGUAACUGACGCUGAGGUUCGAAAGCGUGGGUAGCAAACAGGAUUAGAUACCCGAGUAGUC